rnacentral:rRNA from 1 species
GCUAAGGCUUAACACAUACCCUCGGAAAAGGAACUCGGCAAAAUACUUGCGUAUCUUCGGUAGAAGCAAGCCCUUACACUGUUACACUGUGGUGUAGGGGGUCACAAAAUAGGGGAGGGGAACUGUUUAACAAAAAAAAUCACAGGACUUUGCAAAGUAGAAAUACAAAGUAUAAAGUCUGACGCCUGCCCGGUGCUGGGAGAUAUGAAAAUCUUGUAAUGUAGCUACACGUAGAGAAGCGCAGGAUGUCUGAAGGACCAGUAAACGGCAGCCCUAACUCUAAGGGUUCUAAGGUAGCGAAAUUCCUUGUCGAAUAAUUGUCGACCUGCAUGAAUGGCGUCAUCACCCACCCGCUGUCUCUUCCGAGGCGUGGGCGAAUUUGACAUUCUCGUGAAGAGGCGAGAAAACUGCCACGGGACAAUGAGACCCCGUGCACCUUUACUCUAAGCAAUAACAGCGUUUUGGUGCGCUUGGCGCAGACCAAUAACAUAAAAUACGUUUUUCAGUAUAGGUGGGAGUAUUAAUACAUGAAUGAGAUACCACCAAACUUGUUUGUUUAUAAACGCAUAUUCUUUGACGUAUGUCAAAAGAAUAACCUUAUUGCUUGGGAGUUUGUCUGGGGCGGAAGCCUCCAAAAAAAUAUCGGGGGCGUGCCAAGGUAUGGGAGUUCUGUUUAUUGCGGUUCUAACAACUCUGACAACCCAGCAACCAUGCCUGACUGCUAGGCACACAAGCCAAACAGGGACUAUAUAGUAUGGUCAUCUUACACUUAGUGUAAAGAUUACGAAAGUAUGCGGUAGUGAACCAGCGCUCUGUAGUGGAAUAGAGCGUUGAUCAACGGAUCAAAGGUACGCCGGGGAUAACAGGUUGGUCAGCCCCUAGAGUCCCUAUCGACGGGCUGGUUCGACACCUCGAUGGUCGGCUCAUCGCGUCCUCUUGCUGAAGAAGGUUAGAAGGGUUAGACUGUUCGUCUAUGAAAGCGGUACGUGAGCUGGGUUCAGUGCGUGGUGACACAGCACGGCUCUUCUCUGUGGCAGUUUACUGGUUUCAUUCUUAGGCUUUUUAGUACGAAAGGACCUGAAAGCCCUCACCUCUGGUGUAUCAGUUGUAUACACGUUCGUGUAAGUGCAUUGCUGAGCAGCUAAGUGAGAAAACAGUAUGGCUGAAAGCAUCUGAAGCCAGAAAGUUGUG